CGUGAUGGAUGGUGGAACAGCUUCCCGAGUCAGCAGGAGUGAAGGAAGAGGUGAGAACCCAGACAGCAAUGGUGAGGCAGCUGAGAUCAGCAACAGCAGAGAGCAAAAGGGAACGGGCUGUGUUAUUGAAGCCCAGGGGCCAGUCACUGUUCAAAGCUGGAACCACAGGAGACAUCACUGAAAACAGACAUGCCUGCAAGUCCCCACCUUCCACCAUCCAGGGUCCUUAUUGACUGAAUCCAUCUGGAAGCCAGAGGGCCUAAGGAAUGUAAUAGAGAAAACAGCAGGGGAAGGGUACUGUAUUGGUGUGGGUCCCAAAGGAAAUCAGACAGCACACUCAAAGUAGAAUAAUUUGAGCAGGGUUGAUUUACUAAGAGCUAAAUUACAAAGAUGGGGGAGAAUAGGGGAACCACAGGGGACUUCAGAGUGGUUACCAUCUGCUGUGGUUUUGAUAAUUGUCUCCUCCAACAUUCAAGUUGAAAUUUAAUCCCCAAUGUGUCAUUAUUGACAGAUGAGACCUUUAAGGGUCAUAAGGGCUCUCCCCUCCUGAAUGGAUAAAUCCAUUCGGAGAUUAAUGGGUUGUCAUGGAGUGAGCUUUAUAAGGAGAGGAAGAGAGACCUGAGCUCACCCACUCAGCCCCCCAACUAUAUGAUGCCCUGCGCCACCUCGGGACUUUGCGGAGAGUCCCCACCAGAAAGAAGGUUCUCACCAGAUGGCCCUCUCAACCUUGGACUUCCCUAAGCG
rnacentral:lncRNA from 1 species